CAUUUGAGUGAGUGGCGAACUGGUGAGUAACACGUGGGAAACCUGCCCAGAAGCGGGGGAUAACACCUGGAAACAGAUGCUAAUACCGCAUAACAACUUGGACCGCAUGGUCCGAGUUUGAAAGAUGGCUUCGGCUAUCACUUUUGGAUGGUCCCGCGGCGUAUUAGCUAGAUGGUGGGGUAACGGCUCACCAUGGCAAUGAUACGUAGCCGACCUGAGAGGGUAAUCGGCCACAUUGGGACUGAGACACGGCCCAAACUCCUACGGGAGGCAGCAGUAGGGAAUCUUCCACAAUGGACGAAAGUCUGAUGGAGCAACGCCGCGUGAGUGAAGAAGGGUUUCGGCUCGUAAAACUCUGUUGUUAAAGAAGAACAUAUCUGAGAGUAACUGUUCAGGUAUUGACGGUAUUUAACCAGAAAGCCACGGCUAACUACGUGCCAGCAGCCGCGGUAAUACGUAGGUGGCAAGCGUUGUCCGGAUUUAUUGGGCGUAAAGCGAGCGCAGGCGGUUUUUUAAGUCUGAUGUGAAAGCCUUCGGCUCAACCGAAGAAGUGCAUCGGAAACUGGGAAACUUGAGUGCAGAAGAGGACAGUGGAACUCCAUGUGUAGCGGUGAAAUGCGUAGAUAUAUGGAAGAACACCAGUGGCGAAGGCGGCUGUCUGGUCUGUAACUGACGCUGAGGCUCGAAAGUAUGGGUAGCAAACAGGAUUAGAUACCCUGGUAGUCCAUACCGUAAACGAUGAAUGCUAAGUGUUGGAGGGUUUCCGCCCUUCAGUGCUGCAGCUAAC
rnacentral:rRNA from 2 species